AUUCCGGUUGAUCCUGCCGGACCCGACCGCUAUCGGGGUGGGGCUAAGCCAUGGGAGUCGCACGCUCCGCCGCCGCGGGGCGUGGCGCACGGCUGAGUAGCACGUGGCUAACCUACCCUCGGGAGGGGGAUAACACCGGGAAACUGGUGCUAAUCCCCCAUAGGGGAAGGCGCCUGGAAGGGUCCUUCCCCGAAAGGGUUUGGCAGGGGUUAUCGCUGCCAAGCCGCCCGAGGAUGGGGCUACGGCCCAUCAGGUAGUUGGCGGGGUAAUGGCCCGCCAAGCCGAUAACGGGUGGGGGCCGUGAGAGCGGGAGCCCCCAGAUGGGCACUGAGACAAGGGCCCAGGCCCUAAGGGGCGCACUAGGCGCGAAACCUCCGCAAUGCGGGCAACCGUGACGGGGCCACCCCGAGUGCCCCCUUUCCGGGGGCUUUUCCCCGCUGUAGGUAGGCGGGGGAAUAAGCGGGGGGCAAGUCUGGUGUCAGCCGCCGCGGUAAUACCAGCCCCGCGAGUGGUCGGGACGGUUAUUGGGCCUAAAGCGUCCGUAGCCGGCCUGGUAAGUCCCCUCCUAAAUCCCCGGGCUCAACCCGGGGACUGGGGGGGAUACUACCGGGCUAGGGGGCGGGAGAGGCCGAGGGUACUCUCGGGGUAGGGGCGAAAUCCUAUAAUCCCGGGAGGACCACCAGUGGCGAAGGCGCUCGGCUGGUAACGCGCCCGACGGUGAGGGGCGAAAGCCGGGGGUAGCAAAUCGGAUUAGAUACCCGGCUUAGUUCCCGGGCUGUAAACGAAUGGCGGGCUAAGGGGUGUUGUGGGUUGGGUCUUUAGAAG
rnacentral:rRNA from 1 species